UAAUAUAUAUUUUGUAUGAAAUUUUUUUUUUUUUUUUUUGAGAAAUAGGUAGCACGCUACCCGCUUCGUUUAUUUCAUUUAGAAAUAAACUUAGCUAGAAAUGUGAAUCAAUUAGGAUUCGAACUUAGGUCUCAAGUACCAACCAUCAAGCCUUUUGUCACUUGCUCUAGGGACGGUUGAUUGUAUGAAAUUUUAUUAAUUAGAAUUAUAUGGCCUAAAAGUUUGUUCACUUUUAUACUACUUUCUGCUUAAAUUUUUAUAAAAAUAUUUACAUAAAUUAAUCAGAAUCUACUAAU
rnacentral:lncRNA from 1 species